UACGGAGGGUGCAAGCGUUAUCCGGAUUCACUGGGUUUAAAGGGUGCGUAGGCGGACAGGUAAGUCAGUGGUGAAAUCUCUGGGCUUAACUCAGAAACUGCCGUUGAUACUAUUUGUCUUGAAUGUCGUGGAGGUUAGCAGAAUAUGUCAUGUAGCGGUGAAAUGCUUAGAUAUGACAUAGAAUACCCAUUGCGAAGGCAGCUAACUACGCGAUAAUUGACGCUGAUGCACGAAAGCGUGGGGAGCAAACAGG
rnacentral:rRNA from 1 species